rnacentral:rRNA from 1 species
AACGAACGCUGGCGGCAUGCCUAACACAUGCAAGUCGAACGAGACCUUCGGGUCUAGUGGCGCACGGGUGCGUAACGCGUGGGAACCUGCCCUUAGGUUCGGAAUAACUCCCCGAAAGGGGUGCUAAUACCGGAUAAUGUCUUCGGACCAAAGAUUUAUCGCCUUUGGAUGGGCCCGCGUUGGAUUAGCUAGUUGGUAGGGUAAAAGCCUACCAAGGCGACGAUCCAUAGCUGGUCUGAGAGGCUGAUCAGCCACACUGGGACUGGGACACGGCCCAGAAUACUACGGGAGGCAGCAGUGGGGAAUAUUGGAAAAUGGGCGAAAGCCUGAUCCAGCAAUGCCGGGUGAGUGAUGAAGGCCUUAGGGUUGUAAAGCUCUUUUACCCGGGAUGAUAAUGACAGUACCGGGAGAAUAAGCUCCGGCUAACUCCGUG